rnacentral:rRNA from 1 species
UACGAAGGACCCGAGCGUUAUCCGGAUUUAUUGGGCGUAAAGGGUGCGUAGGUGGCGCCGUAAGUGGGGUGUGAAAUCCCGGGGCUUAACCCCGGGACUGCAUUCCAUACUGCGGUGCUUGAGGACUGGAGAGGAGACUGGAAUUUACGGUGUAGCAGUGAAAUGCGUAGAGAUCGUAAGGAAGACCAGUGGCGAAGGCGGGUCUCUGGACAGUUCCUGACACUGAGGCACGAAGGCCAGGGGAGCAAACGGG